AAAUGAUUUGCUCUAGGUUUAAUUCAUCAAGACGCUGAGUUGCAAGCAACAGAAAUUGACUAUGGAACAUGACUGCUGUGGAUCCGACUGUCGAAAUGAGCUACUUCUUUGGAAGAGGACUUAACCUUGGCAAUGAUCUUUACGUAGGAGAACACGAUCACAGCCGUUGGGAGCAAGAGGCAGAAGAAGAGGAUGUUCAGGAUGAAAACCUGGCCCCCUACCGAGGCCUGGGCCAGCCACCAGUCCAGGGUGCACGAGGUUCCGAAGGGCUCAGGUGCGUAGUCCCCCAGACCUACCAAGGGCAUGGUGGUCCAGAAGGAAGCAUAGGCCCAGAUGGCUGCCAGGCAGAUGUAGGCGUGCUUUCUUUUCAGCCAAACCCCUGGAGGCGGAAGAAAAGCAUUACCCGGAUGUAAUCUGCCCUACACCCAGAUACCUCCCCUCGAUAUGUCAAAUUCCACCUCCAAAGAUUUAUUCCAUUGAUUUCUGGGAGACCUGGGCAGAUAACUGAAGCCUGAGGGAGAGUGGAAUAAACGGAAAAAAGUUCCAGAGCUUGGGCCUUUCUCCAGGAGAACACAAUUGGAAGGUUUUCUCUAGGCAUCUGGGAGCUUUGGGAGGGAGAAGUGACAACAGCUGGGAAAAGGGACAGGAAAGAGAUGAGAGGAUGCUGAAGACAAUGGAGGCCCUUGAGAAAACAUCUCGGAAAGGGUGUGUUAGUGGAUCAUCCAGGGAAAAUCCUUCUGGGAGGUGAGGAAUCACAGAACAUGGCUUGUGUCUUUAAAAUGCCCUUCCUCCUAACAGCUUUUGUGUUGCUAGUCUCAUCUGGCUUCCUAAGAACUUGUGGAAGGGGCUUGGUGGCUCGUGAUCAUUACACAAAUGGUUUGAGAUUAAAGUGCUUGACUGUGUUUAGUAAUUUGUGGAGCAGGUUUGGAAUCUUCAAACAUCAUUCACACAACAAUCGCACUCACACAGCCACAGCGGGAGAGGCAGAGAAUCUAGGUAGGUUGCAUCAUGUUCUGCAAAGUAAUUCUGUGAAGAUAUUUUCAGGAAGACAAAAAAAUGAGCUCCGUUUUUCAGCACUAGUUUCUGUUAACCAAAAGAGAAUUCCAAGCGGAGGAAAUAGUGCAGUCAUCUAAGAAAAGCUGUAAAGCACUAGUGAUCAUUUUCAGAGUUCAACACAACCACCAAAGACAGAUCGGCCUGAUUAAGUGCAGCAGCCUCCACAAGAAAUUACCUUCACACCUCACUCAUCACCUCAAACGAAGAGGGCCGGGAAAGUGACUCUUUACUGCCUAGGUUUUGUGUCAGCAGAGAAGAAAUAUCAAAAUAUAUUCAAUAAAAGCUAAAUGCUUACUUCAA